rnacentral:rRNA from 1 species
GUCUACAGCCAUGCCACCCUGAACAAGCCCGAUGUCUGAUCUCGGAAGUUAAGCGGGGUUAGGCCUGGUUAAUAUUUGGGUGGGAGACCACCUAGGAAAACCAGGUGCUAUAGGCA